rnacentral:rRNA from 1 species
AAUCAACGCUGGCGGCGUGCCUCAGACAUGCAAGUCGAACGAUUAAAGCUCCCUUCGGGGAGUGCAUAAAGUGGCGCACGGGUGAGUAACACGUAAGUAAUCUACCUCUGAGUGGGGAAUAACGUCCGGAAACGGACGCUAAUACCGCAUAACGCAGCGGCACCGCAAGGUGACAGUUGUUAAAGAUUUAUCGCUUGGAGAGGAGCUUGCGGCAGAUUAGCUAGUUGGUAAGGUAAUGGCUUACCAAGGCUACGAUCUGUAGCCGGUCUAAGAGGACGGUCGGUCACACUGACACUGAAUAACGGGUCAGACUCCUACGGGAGGCAGCAGUCGGGAAUUUUGGGCAAUGGGGGAAACCCUGACCCAGCAACGCCGCGUGAAGGAUGAAGUAUUUCGGUAUGUGAACUUCGAAAGAAUAGGAAGAAUUAAUGACGGUACUAUUUAUAAGGUCCGGCUAACUACGUGCCAGCAGCCGCGGUAAUACGUAGGGACCAAGCGUUGUUCGGAUUUACUGGGCGUAAA